rnacentral:rRNA from 1 species
GAUACGCCAGGGAUAACAGGCUGAUAAUUCCCUAGAGUCCAUAUCGACGGAAUUGUUUGGCACCUCGAUGUUGACUGAUCAUAUCCUGGGGCUGAAGAAGGUCCCAAGGGUUCGGCUGUUCGCCGAGUAACAUGGUACCUGAGUUGAGUUUAGAACGUCGUGAGACAGUUUGGAUUCUACCUGGGGUGCGCGUAAGAAUUGAGAAAACCACAUCCUUGUACGAGAGGACCGGAUGUGUACAACCUCUGGUAUAGUAAUUGUCUAGCCAUAGGCAUGGUUACUAGGCUACGUUGUGAUAGGAUAAGUACUG